UUUUCUUCUUCCAAGCCCUUUCAAGUUGAGUGGAAACAAUAAUAGAGUUCUGGAAAUAACAAUUAGGAAACAACACAAAACAACUGUGUGUAUCUUCAGACUCCGGAGACUGGCACACAGACACCAUAGAAAACUCUUUCAUGGAGGAGAAACGCCGGGACCCCGGAACCCUAAUGCCGCCCGCCGGUGAAUUUUCUCCGCCUGCCGAGCCCACCUCGUCGCGGCGCCGGGCUGGAGCUCACAAGAGAAAAGCCACCAACCUCAGCUCGUCCGGCUCUUCAUCCACAUCGUCGAAGCGCAUCACUCGUGAGAAAGCUUCUCUCGCCCACCCUCCGAUCCACAACGGUCCAUUAACCAGGGCUCGUCAGGUACCCAGCAAUCUUUCCUCGGCUUCGGGGGCAGGUGUCGUAGCGGCGUCGGCUACUGGGGCGAAGCCAGCUGGGCACGCCAAGCAUCCUGGUGGUUUGGCUGGAGAGACAAUAGUUUCUGUAGCAGAGGAAUUGAGAAAACAGAGUGAAUUGGAAGCUUUGGAGGCUGGGCUUGAGGCCAAGUUCGAGGCCGUUCGAUCUCGUAGUACCAGCGCUCAUGUGGUUCCCAGUCAUUGCGGAUGGUUUUCAUGGAAAAGUGUCCACCCCAUUGAGGAACGCACAUUGCCAUCUUUCUUUAAUGGGAAGUCUGAAUCGCGUACUCCUGAUGUGUACUUGGAAAUUCGUAAUUGGAUUAUGAAGAAAUUCCAUGCAAAUCCAAACACACAAAUUGAGUUGAAAGACUUGUCAGAACUUGAAGUUGGAGACUUGGAUGCUAGACAAGAGGUAAUGGAGUUUUUGGACCAUUGGGGUUUAAUUAAUUUCCACCCAUUCCCACCAACUGGUCCUGCCACUGGUGGUGCUGAAGAUAAUGUUGCAGCGGAAAAAGGUUCAUUGGCUGAUAAAUUGUAUCACUUUGAAACACUGCAAUCGUCUAAGCCUGUUGUUCCCAAAAAUAAUAUAUCAGCUCCAGCUGUGUCGUCUGGGUUGUUUCCUGAAUCUUCAAUUGCUGACGAGUUAAUAAGGCCUGAGGGUCCAGCUGUUGAGUACCAUUGCAACUCUUGUUCAGCUGAUUGCUCACGUAAACGCUACCAUUGCCAGAAGCAGGCAGAUUUUGAUUUAUGUACUGAUUGCUUUAACAAUGGGAAGUUUGACUCUGGUAUGUCAUCUUCGGAUUUUAUUCUCAUGGAGCCUGGUGAGAUUCAGGGACUCAGUGGGGGAAAGUGGACGGAUCAGGAGACCCUCCUCCUCCUUGAGGCAUUAGAACUUUAUAAAGAAAAUUGGAAUGAGAUUGCCGAACAUGUUGCUACGAAAACAAAAGCUCAAUGCAUAUUGCACUUUGUUCAAAUGCCAAUUGAGGAUAGUUUUUUUGAUAGUAGCGAUGAUAGUGUAUCCUGUUCCAAAGAAACUGCGGAUCCAGCUUCUAGUGAUAAAUUAGCCCCCAAAGAUGCUCCUGAAACAAAUGAUAGUGAGACUGCUGCUAAUGAAAAUCAGUCCACAACUUCCCCAACGGAAACUUCAAAAGAAGAAACGACUGAAGAUAAAGCUAGUCCUGACACUUUGAAACCUGAACAUACGGACAAAGGAAAAGUUGAUCAGGACACUUUUAAACUGGAUGAUGGCAAUGAAACUAAAGGUGGUGAGGAUGCAGGAGAAAACUGUGCAAUGAAGGCUCUCAAGGAAGCAUUUGAAGCUGUUGGUUAUCCUCUGACACCUGAACGACCACUUUCAUUUGCUGAAGUGGGGAAUCCUGCCAUGGCAUUGGCGGCUUUCCUGGCACAUUUGGUUGGACCGGAUGUUGCAACUGCUUCAUCACACAAUUCUUUAAAAUCCUUAUCUGGAAACUCCCCAGGCAUUGAGCUGGCUUCAAGACACUGCUUUCUUUUGGAGGAUCCACCAAAUGACGUUAAGGAACCAGCUGGGUUGCCUAGUGUGGUUGCUGAAGCAACUAAUGAGGACACUGUGAAAGAAGAAGCCCAAGCAGACAGAGGCCAGAAAGAGGAUUUAUCAAAUGAUCAUUGUGACAAGAAAAAUCAAGAUACUGCUCUUGAAGAAGAGCAAACAUUGGAUGUUCCAAAUGUUGAAACCACAGAGAUAUCCCACAAUGCAAAAGAACAAGAUAUCAUAGUUACUUGUGAGGAAGUUUCUGGUAGCAUAAGUACAUCAAACAAAUCAAGCACUUCUGAGAUAGUAAAGGAUCAACAGCCAUCUACAGAUGAAUUAAAAUCUGAGGCUGAGCUCCCACCAAGUUUUGUGAAGGAUUCGGAAGCAAAUUCAGAAGAGCCUCUUGAACCCACAAAGACAUCAAAGGAUGUAGAAAUGUCUGAAACUACCCCUGAAAAGAAUGAGCUUCAAGAAACAGUUCCAUCAAAUGUAUUAAAGGAGCCUGCCAAUUCUGUAGAGGCUCAAGUAGAUGAAGCUUCUGAUUCUUUGCCUUCAAAAAAGAAUGAGGAUCAGCAUCCGAUAGCUGUCAAUUCAGUUGGAAAACCUUCUUCUGAGGAACCAAGAGACAUAGAUAUGGUGCCUCAUUCUGAGAACUCAGAAAAGAAUGAAUCUUCACAACCAGCUGAACCAAAUGUAACAGAUGGAAAAGUCGAGGAUCUUACUAAAGAUGGUGACAAAAAGAAUGGUAUGGAUAUUAAAGAAGACAACAAGAUUGAUAAAAUAAAGCGUGCAGCGGUCUCUGCUAUCUCUGCAGCAGCAGUAAAGGCAAAACUUCUAGCAGAUCAGGAAGAAGACCAAAUCCGACAACUUUCCAUGUUACUGAUAGAGAAGCAGUUGCUGAAACUGGAAACCAAGUUAGGGUUUUUUAAUGAGAUGGAAAACGUUCUAAUGAGGGUUAGGGAGCAAUUAGACAGAUCAAGGCAGCGACUUUACCAUGAACGAGCGCAAAUAAUUGCAGCCAGACUUGGCUUACCUGCUUCCUCAUCUCGGGUGGCGCCUUCAUCUUUGCCUACCAAUAGGGUUCACAUGAACGUUACUAACUCAGUUCCAAGACCUCCAUUGAGCAUGGUUCCUCAGAGGCCUCCGUUGUCAAGACCCAUGGGGACAGGGGCUCCUACCCCUUCAAUACCAUUGUCCACAACAACAGCAGGUAGCUCAAUUGGACCUCCUAGCCAGGAGAAACUUUCUUCUGUUGGAACAAAGUAAAACUUAAUGUACACGAGUUGAAGUGCAUCCAUUUUUAUACACCACCAUACUACUUUCUACAUCCAGUUCACAAAUGCAAGGGUAGUUUUCAGUCUGAUGGCAAGAAGAUUUUCCUCAAGCAGUUUGGAGAUUAAAAGAUAAGCAGUUUGCUCCGAUAUCCAAGGGAGGCUGACUAAACCUAUUGGUAGUGUGCUUGGAAUUCUGCUGAUAAUGAUUUUGUGAGGUCUGAGUUUUUAGCAAACUUCUUUGACAUCUUUAACUCUGCUUGUGGUAGCUGGCUCUGCAUCUGUCUUGUAUCCCUGUGCAGUCUUCUAGAGCUAAGAAAUUAAAAGGGAGCACAAAUUGUAAACCGACUCUUGGAAGUACUAAUGCUAGUGUCUAAUCUCACUGCAUGCUGACCGAGUAACUCAUGUAGUAUUCCAUUUGUGGAUAUUAAAAUAGGUGAUUUUGUACUAAUAGAGGUGUAUUGGUUCUUUUGCUAAAAUUAUUUUGCUAGUUUGAGUUGUAAAUUGUAUUAAUACAGAUUGUCGUUUUUAUUAGUAAUCCUAUUAAUUAGUA